GACGAACGCUGGCGGCGUGCCUAAUACAUGCAAGUCGAACGCAUUUUCUUUCACCGUAGCUUGCUACACCGAAAGAAAAUGAGUGGCGAACGGGUGAGUAACACGUGGGUAACCUGCCCAUCAGCGGGGGAUAACACUUGGGGACAGGUGCUAAUACCGCAUAAUUCCAUUUACCGCAUGGUAGAUGGGUGAAAGGCGCUUUUGCGUCACUGAUGGAUGGACCCGCGGUGCAUUAGCUAGUUGGUGGGGUAACGGCCUACCAAGGCUGCGAUGCAUAGCCGACCUGAGAGGGUGAUCGGCCACACUGGGACUGAGACACGGCCCAGACUCCUACGGGAGGCAGCAGUAGGGAAUCUUCGGCAAUGGACGCAAGUCUGACCGAGCAACGCCGCGUGAGUGAAGAAGGGUUUCGGAUUGUAAAACUCUGUUGUUAGAGAAGAACAAGGAUGAGAGUGGAAAGUUCAUCCCUUGACGGUAUCUAACCAGAAAGCCACGGCUAACUACGUG
rnacentral:rRNA from 1 species